rnacentral:rRNA from 1 species
AUUGAACGCUGGCGGCAUGCUUUACACAUGCAAGUCGAACGGCAGCGCGGGCUUCGGCCUGGCGGCGAGUGGCGAACGGGUGAGUAAUGCAUCGGAACGUGCCCAGUAGUGGGGGAUAGCCCGGCGAAAGCCGGAUUAAUACCGCAUACGACCUGAGGGUGAAAGCGGGGGACCGUAAGGCCUCGCGCUAUUGGAGCGGCCGAUGUCGGAUUAGCUAGUUGGUGGGGUAAAGGCUUACCAAGGCGACGAUCCGUAGCUGGUCUGAGAGGACGACCAGCCACACUGGGACUGGACCACGGCCCAGACUCCUACGGGAGGCAGCGGUGGGGAAUUUUGGCCAAUGGGGGCAACCCUGAUCCAGCCAUGCGGCGUGCGGGAAGAAGUCCUUCGGGUGGUAAGCCGCUUUUGUUCGGGAAGAAAUCCUCUGGGCUAAGACCCCGGGGGGAUGACGGUACCGGAAGAAUAAGCACCGGCUAACUACGG